rnacentral:rRNA from 1 species
AUCGGCUUAGUCGAAUAAAGUUCUAGAUAGAAUAGUGAUUAUGACAAUUUUCUAUCUAAAUGUCUUGACCAANUCACGUGCCAGCAGUCGCGGUAAUACGUGGAAGACUAGUGUUAUUCAUCUUUAAUAGGUUUAAAGGGUACCUAGACGGUAUUUCUAGCCCCNAAAGGGUACGGAUUUACUAGAGUUUUAUGUGAGAGGCAAAUAUUAGUACUAUUGGUGUAGAGAUGAAAUUCUUUGAUACUACUAGGACUGGUGGCGGCGAAAGCAACCCUCUAAGUAUAAACUGACGUUGAGGGACGAAGGCUUGGGUAGCGAAUAGGAUUAGAUACCCUAGUAGUCCAGGCAGAAAAUUAUGAGUGCCAUAGACUAGAUUANAUAAUUUUGGUCUAUAAAUGAAAGUGUAAGCAUUCCACCUCAAGAGUAAUGUGGCAACGCAGGAACUGAAAUCAUUAGACCGUUUCUGAAACCAGUAGUGAAGUAUGUUAUUUAAUUCGAUAAYCCUCGAAAAACCUUACCACAAUUUGAAUGUAAUACAUGUANUCUAAUAAUUGUCUAGUCAACAAUUACAUGUAUUAACACAAGCGUUGCACGGCUGUCUUCAGUUAAUGUCGUGAGAACUUGGUUAGAUCCAUUAAAUUAACGUAAUCCCUUUCUUUAUUUAUAUUAAUAAAGAAGUUCACCGCUAUAUUGGAUAUGAUAACAGGGAAUAAGACAAGUCAUCAUGACCUUAAUAUUGUGGGCUAUA